GGUGUUCAGGAAGGUGCUCAGCAAGGAGAAAAGGCUGAGAUGCGGCAAAGCACAGCUGGGAUUCGCAGGCAAAACAAACUGCCUGUGUAAAUACAUGGGCUUAGCAUUCGUACAGGAGUAAGUUCCAGAGUUCAGACUGGUUGUUACUGUAUAGAAAAGUGCUUAUCACCAUGGUGACUGAGCAAUGCUGCAUCUUCCUAGGAAUGGAAAGUUUCAGUCCCAGGGAUCUGCGGCAUAUGACCAGUGGGUUAAAUGCAGCUGUCUUUACCUUUUAAAGGCAGGGAUCGUGAUUUGUGUGGCAACUGUACAUAUGCCCGUGAAGUGAAUUGGUUGGAAUCAGCAUGGCAGCCACCUGGUAGCUAGAUGUACACUAAAAAGGACACCACAAGUGCCCAUUGGUGUCCCUUUCAGGCAGUGUCUUCCAAAAAACAGUCUUGCAUAAACUAAGGCAGCAGCAGGGUUUUCUUUGAAUAGCAGAUUAUGUUGCAUGUUAAGUCUAAAAUGUCUUGGAUUGAGUAGAAGUUGCCAUUCACCGUGUUGUAGUUGAGGAUCUUGAUGCCUACGAGAGGUUCAAGUCUAUAUUAUAGGAGUCAGUGUGAAGCUUGGCUGAUUUUCACUGAAGUAGUAGAAGAUUCCUGAAGCACGUUGAGAGGAACGGGUUGACGAUGAGAGGGGUUUUGAGUCCAAGAGCUGCUCGCAAUGCAAAAGAUGGAGCCCACGAAGAAGGUGAAAACAUCAUGCAUGAAUGAGCGAUGCAAGGGAAAUUUUGUAAAAACGAUUUGUUGGAAGAGCAGACUGUCCAAGAAACUGCUUCUGCUGUGUCUCAGAGCACUGCCAGUGUCAAAGUUUCUGCUAAGAUCUACACAGUGUUUCACUCUGCUGCCGCUUCAAACCCAGGAGAAGCUUGUGUGCCUCAAAGCUCUUUUCCUCCCCAUCCAUAGAUGUCAGCCUAAUAAAAGAUGUCACAGCCAGAGGCCAGAGGUAGCACAAUCCCAUCCUCAUACCUCUGAGGACAGCUCUGCAAGCUCCAGGCCUUCACACUCCCAAGGUGGGAUUCGGUGUCUCUCCUAUGAAGUGCCUUUAUCAAAGCUCUGUUCCAGUUGCCUGUGA
rnacentral:lncRNA from 1 species